ACUGGGCGUGGUGGUGCGGGCCUGUAGUCCCAGCUACUCGGGAGGCUGAGGCUGAGGUGGGAGGAUCCCUUGAGCCCAGGAGUUCUGGGCUGUAGUGGCUAUGCCCAUCCGUGUCUGCACUAAGUUCGGCGUAAAUAUGGUCCUCCCGGGAUCGGACCACCAGGUUGUCUAAGGAGGGGUGAACUGGCCCAGAUUGGAAACAGAGCAGAUCAAAACUCUCGUGCUGAUCAGCAGUGGGAUCGCGCCUGUGAAUAGCCACUGCCCUCCAGCCUGGGCAACAUAGGGAGACCCCGUCUCUA
ensembl:misc_RNA Metazoa_SRP Metazoan signal recognition particle RNA